ACAUGUGACUCAUUCAUGUCCAAAACUCAUCAUUGCAAAGACCAUGAAAUCCUUAUGCAGUUCAACGGCUGCAAUUAUCUUUGCCAUGACAUUGAUCCUUUCAAUUGGGGUGAUUUUGUCCCAAUCUAGGACUCACCCUUCUUCUUCACCCUCAGUUUCAAAAAUGUCACAAUCCUCAAAAUCUCUUUCAGAUUCACUUUUUCACAUAGAAGACCAAAAAUCAACUGAGGAACCUGUGGUAGCUGCUAGCCUUAAAAGGAUACCACCUAGCACACCAAAUCCUAUACAGAACUACAGGUUGAAGCCUAUGAAAAGGAACUAAAGAGAGGAAUUGAUGGCAUGGAUUGGAGUAUAUAUGAAGAUUCAAAGCCGUGGCAUGAACUCUGUUGGUCUCUAGUUUCUAUUUUUAUUUUUUAUUUUUCAGUGUUUUACUGUUUCAACAGCUUCAAAUUAUUAGGGUUUUUUUUAGUGAGAGUGGUAUAGUUCAUGACUUUAGAAUUUAUAUUGCUCUUUAUUUUCUCUUAACUUUGAUGUUUUAGAUUGGAGAGAAUAUAUGAACCUAUGAUGUAAAGGGGAAAAACAAUAGCCAUGUGUUAAUGGUGAUAACUUUAUGAGUUUUUUUUCU